AUGCACUUCUUGGUUUGGCUGGCCAGGCAAAUUAAGAGCACAGACCUGCGUUGCUACCCUCGGUUUUGUCAGCAGGUGGCAAUAUCUACUUUUCGUCUGAACUUCAGAAAAGUUCUGCGAGCAAACAUAAACUCUUUAUUCAGAAAGCUGUUACGGCUUUGCGUCGGGUGUUCUGACUGGAAGCUAGGUAAUUGUUCCAGGUGCUUGGAUGCCAUGGUGAUGACUUCUGUCAAGACAGAUAAGUAG
rnacentral:lncRNA from 1 species